AGCGAACGCUGGCGGCAGGCUUAACACAUGCAAGUCGAGCGGGCACUUCGGUGUCAGCGGCAGACGGGUGAGUAACACGUGGGAACGUACCCUUCGGUUCGGAAUAACGCUGGGAAACUAGCGCUAAUACCGGAUACGCCCUUUUGGGGAAAGGUUUACUGCCGAAGGAUCGGCCCGCGUCUGAUUAGCUAGUUGGUGGGGUAAUGGCCUACCAAGGCGACGAUCAGUAGCUGGUCUGAGAGGAUGAUCAGCCACACUGGGACUGAGACACGGCCCAGACUCCUACGGGAGGCAGCAGUGGGGAAUAUUGGACAAUGGGCGCAAGCCUAAUCCAGCCAUGCCGCGUGAGUGAUGAAGGCCUUAGGGUUGUAAAGCUCUUUUGUCCGGGACGAUAAUGACGGUACCGGAAGAAUAAGCCCCGGCUAACUUCGUG
rnacentral:rRNA from 1 species